AGCAGCCGCGGUAAUUCCAGCUCCAAUAGCGUAUAUUAAAGUUGUUGCAGUUAAAAAGCUCGUAGUUGAAUUUCGGGAUCAGUACGCUGGUCGUGCCUCUGGUAUGUACUGGUGUUACUGGUUCCUACCUUCUGACGAACCGUCAUGUCAUUAAUUUGGUGUGGCGGGGAAUCAGGACUGUUACUUUGAAAAAUUAGAGUGUUUAAAGCAGGCUCGCGCUUGAAUACAUUAGCAUGGAAUAAUGAAAUAGGACGUUCGAUCCUAUUUUGUUGGUUUCUAGGAUUGACGUAAUGAUUAAUAGGGAUAGUUGGGGGCAUUAGUAUUCAAUUGUCAGAGGUGAAAUUCUUGGAUUUAUUGAAGACUAACUACUGCGAAAAGCAUUUGCCAAGGAUGUUUUCAUUAAUCAAGAACGAAGGUUAGGGGAUCGAAGACGAUCAGAUACCGUCGUAG
rnacentral:rRNA from 1 species